AGAACGAACGCUGGCGGCAUGCCUAAUACAUGCAAGUCGAACGAACACUUCGGUGUUAGUGGCGCACGGGUGCGUAACGCGUGGGAAUCUGCCCUUGGGUUCGGAAUAACAGUUGGAAACGACUGCUAAUACCGGAUGAUAUCGAAAGAUCAAAGAUUUAUCGCCCAGGGAUGAGCCCGCGUAGGAUUAGCUAGUUGGUGAGGUAAAGGCUCACCAAGGCGACGAUCCUUAGCUGGUCUGAGAGGAUGAUCAGCCACACUGGGACUGAGACACGGCCCAGACUCCGUACGGGAGGCAGCAGUAGGGAAUAUUGGACAAUGGGCGCAAGCCUGAUCCAGCAAUGCCGCGUGA
rnacentral:rRNA from 1 species